GAACUUCGCAUGCCCGAAAGGGUGACGAGGUAAUCCUGAGUGCUUCCCAUUUUUUCUGGAUCUUUUCUCAUGUGCAAGUAUCUUGAGGAAUAAAGGUCGGGUAAGGCCGGUGCCAGCCGCCGCGGUAAAACCGGCGACCUGAUUUGUAACCGCGUUUAUUGGGUCUAAAGCGUUCGUACCCGGGCGUGUAAGUCCUCAGGUAAAUCUGGCGGCUUCAUCGUCAGAAUUCUGCGGAGACUGCAUGUCUUGGAGCCGGGAGAGGGUGCGAGUACUCCGGGGGUAAGGGUGAAAUCUUCUGAUCCUCGGGGGACUACCUGUUGCGAAGGCGCGCAUCCAUAACGGUCUCGACGGUGAGGGACAAAACCCUGGGGAGCAAACGGUAUUAAAUACCCCGGUACUCCAGGGCGUAAACUAUGCCCGCUUGGUGUUGCUCGCUCUUCGAGGGCGGGCAGUGCCGCAACGUAGGUGUUUAUCGGGCCACCUGGGAAGUACGGUCGCAAGACUGAAACUUAAAAGAAUUGGGGGGAGCACA
rnacentral:rRNA from 1 species